rnacentral:rRNA from 1 species
GUGCCAGCCGCCGCGGUAAUACGGAGGAGGCAAGCGUUAUCCGGAAUUAUUGGGCGUAAAGCGUCCGCAGGUGGCUGGAUAGCAAGUCUGUCGUCAAAGACCGGGGCUUAACCCUGGGAAGGCGGUGGAAACUGCACAGCUAGAGAGAGGUAGGGGUAGAGGGAAUUCCCGGUGUAGCGGUGAAAUGCGUAGAGAUCGGGAAGAACAUCGGUGGCGAAAGCGCUCUACUGGACCUAAUCUGACACUCAGGGACGAAAGCUAGGGGAGCGAAUGGGAUUAGAAACCCCUGUAGUCC